rfam:Vittaforma corneae ATCC 50505 unplaced genomic scaffold supercont1.17, whole genome shotgun sequence.
GCGAGAUUAGCUCAGUGGAAGAGCACCAGACUGAAGAUCUGUAGGUCCUGGGUUCGACUCCCAGAUCUCGCA